GUGUGUUCCGUUAACUUGACGCCGGUCCUCGAUGAUAACAGAGGUACCGAUUCCUCUGGAAAUACCGGCCAGAUUCGGCAUUUUCCAGCCGGUAAACCAGCAGAAAUGAGAGCUAGAAGGAUUUAACGGAGACUAACGGACCCGCGGGGCUUGAAAAAGAGAUGCUGAGUCGCCCGCUGACUCUGUGUGACGACAGGGGGCGGGGCCUGACAGCGGUGACUCCGCCCCCUGCGCUCCCAUUGGCUGAUGAGGGUGAUGACGACACAGAGACACAAACAGGAGGUUUUCUCCCCCCUCUCUCCUCCCCUUUCCCCCCU